rnacentral:rRNA from 1 species
CCUACGGGUGGCAGCAGUGAGGAAUAUUGGUCAAUGGACGUGAGCCUGAACCAGCCAAGUAGCGUGAAGGAUGACUGCCCUAUGGGUUGUAAACUUCUUUUGUCAAGGAAUAAAACGAGCCACGUGUGCCUUUUCUCAUAUUAUCUGUGAAUAAAGCUUGGGCAAACCCCUGCCAGGAGCCGGCGUUAUUCGGAGGAUUCGAGGCUUUUCCGGAUUUAUUGGGUUUAAAGGGAUCGUAGAUGGGUUGUUAAGUCAGUUGUGAAAGUUUGGGGCUCAACCGUAGCAUUGCAAUUGAUACUGGCAGUCUUGAGUACAGGUGAGGUAGGCGGAAUGCGUGGUGUAGCGGUGAAAUGCAUAGAUAUCACGAAGAACCCCGAUUGCGAAGGCAGCUUACUGAACUGUGACUGACGUUGAUGCACGAAAGUGUGGGUAUCGAACAGGAUUAGAUACCCCUGUAGUC